rnacentral:rRNA from 1 species
UACGUAGGGUGCAAGCGUUAAUCGGAAUUACUGGGCGUAAAGCGUGCGCAGGCGGUUGUGCAAGACCGAUGUGAAAUCCCCGGGCUUAACCUGGGAAUGGCAUUGGUGACUGCACGGCUAGAGUGUGUCAGAGGGGGGGUAGAAUUCCACGUGUAGCAGUGAAAUGCGUAGAGAUGUGGAGGAAUACCGAUGGCGAAGGCAGCCCCCUGGGCUAACACUGACGCUCAGGCACGAAAGCGUGGGGAGCAAACAGG